rnacentral:rRNA from 1 species
UAGGGAAUCUUCGGCAAUGGGGGCAACCCUGAUGGAGCAACGCCGCGUGAGUGAAGAAGGUUUUCGGAUCGUAAAGCUCUGUUGUAAGAGAAGAACGUGUGUGAGAGUGGAAAGUUCACACAGUGACGGUAACUUACCAGAAAGGGACGGCUAACUACGUGCCAG